GCCCGUGAAGCCCCGCCUUCUCUCCCAAUCGGCUUGCGCCUGCUCGCCCGCCCGCUGGUGUUUUCGACAAGAUGGCGUCCAGCGGUGCAGCGAGGAACGGCAGCCUUCAUCAGACCUCGCCGUUACCGCCGCAGCCGCACAAAACUGGGUCGGCCAGAAUCAAUUGCUACGAGAUCGAGAGGACCAUCGGCAAGGGCAACUUCGCUGUGGUCAAGCUCGCCACUCACAUCGUCACCAAAGCUAAAGUUGCUAUAAAGAUAGUAGAUAAGACACAACUGGAAGAGGAAAACUUGAAGAAGAUCUUCAGAGAAGUCCAAAUCAUGAAAAUGUUAAGACACCCUCACAUUAUUAGACUAUAUCAGGUUAUGGAGACAGAAAGAAUGAUUUAUUUGGUGACAGAGUACGCAAGUGGUGGAGAGAUAUUUGAUCACCUUGUGGCCCAUGGACGAAUGGCAGAGAAGGAAGCCAGAAAGAAAUUCAAGCAAAUUGUUGCAGCUGUCCAUUUUUGUCACUGUCGAAACAUUGUACAUAGAGACCUGAAGGCUGAAAACCUACUCCUGGAUGCUAACCUUAACAUAAAGAUUGCAGACUUUGGAUUUAGUAACAUUUUUACACCAGGACAAUUACUGAAAACAUGGUGUGGGAGUCCACCAUAUGCAGCUCCUGAAUUGUUUGAAGGAAAAGAAUAUGAUGGCCCCAAAGUGGAUAUAUGGAGUCUGGGGGUGGUGCUAUAUGUGCUGGUAUGUGGGGCCCUGCCAUUUGAUGGCAACACACUGCAGAACCUGCGGGCCAGGGUACUAAGUGGCAAAUUUCGAAUUCCGUUCUUUAUGUCUACAGAAUGUGAACAUUUGAUUCGACAUAUGCUUGUGCUAGACCCAAGCAAACGCUUGUCUGUGGAACAAAUCUGCAAACAUAAGUGGAUGAAAAUAGGGGAACCAGAUCCAGAGUUUGACCGGUUAAUAACAGAAUCCAAGCAGGUCAAAGUAGAGAUUAAAACAGAGCCUCUGAAUGAACAGGUGCUCAUGUACAUGGCGGAAUUGGGUCUGGAAAGAGAACGCACACUACAGUCAUUGAAGACAGAUGCCUAUGAUCAAUUUAAUGCAAUUUACAGUCUGCUGUGUGACAAACUGAAGCGGCAUAAGACAUUGCGUAUCUCUGCACCGCCAAGUGUUCCUCGCUCUAUGCCCUUUCAGUCACCUGCAAACGUCCAGACUGAGCAGACAGGUAACACAUUAAGUCUGAAUGUGCCACAGGUACAGCUCAUCAAUCCAGAGAACCAGAUAGUGCAGACUGAUGGCAACAUGAAUCUUGAUAGCGAUGAAGGUGAAGAGCCGUCACCAGAAGCGUUGGCGCGAUAUCUCUCCAUGAGAAGACAUACUGUUGGAGUUGCUGACCCUAGAACUGAAGUUCCAGAAGAUCUGCAGAAAUGUCACCUGCCUGGUUUUCCACGUACCGUGCCUCAGGCUCCUUUCCUGCAAGUUGUUCCAAAUGUUAAUUUAAUGCAGAACAUGCCUCCCACACAGAAUUUACAGCCAGCCACACAAUUGGAGUACAAGGAACAAUCCUUACUUCAACCUCCAACUCUACAAUUGCUAAAUGGUAUGGGACCUCUCGGCCGUCGUGCUUCUGAUGGUGGAGCCAACAUCCAGUUGCACGCCCAGCAGUUACUCAAACGUCCAAGAGGCCCUUCACCUUUGGUCACCAUGAAUCCACAUGCUGUGCCAGUUGUGACACCAGUGGAUGAGGAGGGCUCAGAUGGUGAGCCAGACCAGGAAGCUGUGCAAAGGUAUCUGGCUAACAGGUCUAAACGCCACACUCUCGCAAUGACCAAUCCUACAGCUGAGGUCCCCCUAGAUUUGCAGAGGCAGCUGGGACAGCAGCAGGCAAUCCGUUCACGGGCCUGGGUUCCUCACCCUGAGCAGCACAGCCGCGUUUGCUAUAAAGACCCCAACACUCUACACCUUCCAACUGAAAGGUUCUCUCCAGUUCGUCGUUUCUCAGAUGGUGCUGCUAGCAUACAGGCAUUCAAAGCUCAUCUAGAGAAAAUGGAGAAAAGCACAAACACAAACAGUAGCAUAAAGCAGCUGCAGCAGGAAUGUGAACAUUUGCAAAAGAUAUAUGGAAAUGCAAUGGAUGAAAAAAUAUUUGAGAAGACGCAACAACAGCACAUUCUUUAUCAACAAGAACAGCAACAACAGAUUCGACACCAACAGAUUCAGGAAUGUAUUCGCCCAGCACAGCCUUCACCUCCAUUGUCAACCGCUUCAUUGGUACAGCAUGUGGAAAACCAGCCAGCAUUAAUCACUCACCAGCUUCAGAGGUUACGAAUUCAACAUGAACAGUCGAGCCCCCCUCCAAACCAUCCCAACAAUCAUCUCUUCAGCAAGUCUAAUAGCAGUCCUCCACCUGGCACCACAGCCAUCAUGCAGUCCAGCAGUUGUGCUGCAGCCUCCCCAUCUCAAUUUCAAGGCAUACCCUCCCAACAUGCUCUAUUUCAGCAGCCCAGUAAUAGCCCUCCUCCUCCAAACCUUAACCUUCCCCGAAUGAAUUUACAACCUGGAUUGCCACAGCAGUCGCAAGCACAGCCAGUUACAAUUCAAGUCCAGGAACCACCUGAUAUGCUCAGCAACAACUUGCUACAAAGUGCUGGGCAAAAUCUGCACACCACACGUCCCCGUGGAAUCAUCGGUUCAGGGAAUCAGAUUCCCCUUCAGCAGAGAGGCUUGCACAUGCCAUCUCUUGGGCUUGGACAACACAGGGCCUUGGCAAAGCAACUGAGUGCAGAUAGUGCAGAGGUAAACAGUCGCCCUAUUAGUCGAUUUUCUCCUUUGAGCUACGAUCAGUCGCACUUGCACCCUCACCUUUUCCAGGAGCAGCUUCGAUUUUUAACUAACAACUUCAGUCCAGCAACAGCUAUGUUUUCCCAAGGCAUGAAAGUUACACAGAUGGACUCACUUUCAAACUAUAACCAAACCAUAGCUGGUAAAGCCAUCAUGCAGCAUGAGCAUCAACAAGAUUUCACAGCUUCAUCACUACAUCAGGCAUUGCUUUCUCCAACGCCACCUGACUACACAAGACACCAGCAAGUUUGUCAGCAGUAUGGCCAUAUGAUUCAGGGACUGCUUUCACCCAGGCACUCGUUGACAGGCCAACAGGACUUGCGCUUACCUCCUGCUGAAAUGCCACAUUUUUUAAAACGUCACCAGCGGCAGCAACAUCAGCAAGAAUAUGACUUGCUGAGACACAUAAACCAAGGGGCGGGGGAUGCUGGAAACAUGACUGCCAACUUAUGCGGGCACCAACAGACUUUAUCAGAGCGACAAACAUUAAAUAUGCCUUAUCAUAGUACAGAACCAUAUCAUCAGCAUCAUCUACUGCAGGUCAGAGGCCAAGAUCAUAUUCCACAGCCCCCUUCGUCAUCCCAAGGCCACAGUUUUGUACAUCACCCCCCACUGAUGCAUUCGGAGAGUAUGGAAGAGGACUGUGUGAAUGAGGGGAACAGGGAGGGGUAUCCGGACAAUACUGACUCAACUGACACAUCCACUAAAUGCUGUCAAGAGAAUCCAGAGCUGCUCAAUAUUAUUAGGUGUGGGGCUGCAGAGACACGACUUGCAAAUAUAAAUCAUGUGCACAAAAUGGGUGUUUCACAGCCGUACAGUCAUCAGGCAGUCCCUGGCUUUGCAACAGGCAAAGUGCCAAGCAGAGAGUCCAUAACAGGGGAUCGAAUGGAUGGAAGGGCCCCUAUGCAGCCAAUGGAAGUAAAUGAUCACAAUGGAAUAGGUUACACAAGACAGUCAACUAAAAUUCUCCAACGGCAUCACACCAUUCAGACAAGUGAUGAUGCUUAUGACCAGGCCGAGCCUUCAGGGAUGAGUUUAUUAGCUGGAAAGGUGCUUAGCUCUGCUCGUAUGUCAGAUAUUCUUAGCCAGUCAUCGCUCACGGGGAGUCAACAACUGCAGAACAGAGAGAGUGAAGAGCAUGAUGGAAGUUCACAAAGUUCUGCCGAACCAAAUCCAGGAGAAGGUUCAGCACAUUCAAAUAGUUCUUGCUACCCUGCCAAAUGCAUCACUGACAUCCUGAAAGAACUGAAUCCACCAUUUGACAACAAACUACAUCCCUACAAACAUCCUGAUUUGGCCUUUGGAAUGGAGCAGGCAGGCGUGUAACGGAUAGUGUGGUGAUCAUCGUGUGGCAUGGAAGCUACAAGGCAUUGGACCACAAGAUCCUACAGAGGACAGUAAAAACCACCGAGAGGAUCACUGGGGUAGAUCCCCCUCUCCACCCCUAUUUGUGACAUUUACUGGGAGCGUUGCAGAUGAAGGAUCUGAAGCAUUGUUGAGUAUCCCUACCACCCAUCCCUCAGUCUCUUUGACCCACUACCAUCGGGAAGGAGGUACAGGAGCAUCAGGACUAGAACUGCCAAACUGGGUAACAGCUUCUUCCCCAGGCUGGGAGACUAAUGAAUACCCUGCUACCACCAAGGUCUUGUCACUAGGACAGUGAGCUGUUUACUGUUUACCUGUGAUGUGUACUACAUGCAUUUUGAAUUAUAUUUUAUUAACUUAUUUAUGGUAGCAUUUUAUGUGCUGUAUGUGAUAUAUGUUUUGUGGGUGCACCUUGGUCUGGAGGAACGUUGUUUUGUUUGUUAUAUAUGUGUACCGUACAGGCAAAUGAAAAUAAACUUGACUGGAAAGUUUUAGAAUGAGCAAGUGACAAAGGCCGGAAUAGGUAAGAGAGAUAGGUUCACAUCCUUCAAAUAUGUCAAUGAAUCACUCAGUUUGUCUGAUUCCAGCUCACAGCUUGAUUGAGUUCAUCCAUAAUGGUGAGAUUGAUCUUGCAAAGGAUGUCGAUGAUAUAGAAUGUUUCCUCUCCCCACUGCAAAGCACAGGAAGGUGUUGAGUUGAUGAAAGUUUGCUGGUUAAGUACUUAAGAAUGUGAGGAAGGUACCCCCAACAAAACAUCUAAUAUCAAGUCAUUUUUUAAAAAUCUAGUAGUAGAUGACUGCUUCUGCCAUAAUUCAAUAAGGGACCAGGGGAAGCAGAACUAAAUGGAAGAUGACUUUUCGCAUUAGACCUUUGCCCUUGCAGAAAUGUUCUAGUUGGUUUGAUAUCUGAAUUUUUUUGCCGGAACCUUUAAUGAGAGGUUAGAUUUAUUUGUCGCAUGUACGUCAGAACAUAUAGUGAAAUGUUUCAUUUGGGUCACAGCCCAAAACAGUCCGAAUAUGUGCUGGGGGCAGCCCACAAAUCCGGUGCCAAUAUAGCAUGUCCACACCUUAUUUAACCCGAACCCGUACAUAAUUGGAAUGUGGGGUGAAGCUGGAGCACUUGGAGGUAACCCACAGGGAGAACAUACUAACUCUUUACAGACAGCAAUGGGGAAAUUUACCCCCAUCUUACAGCUGCUGCUGUAAAGAGUUAUGUUAACAGCUAUGCCACUGUGCUGCCCCAAACUCUGUACCUUACAAAGUAAAUGAUGGUGUGGUGUAGGAAUUAGUAGCAGGAACUAUCAGGAUGUUGGUCCUUGGGGUCAUAGUUAAUAAGUGCAGUGAAGUAAUUCAGAUGUAAUCUACAUGACUGAAAUGGACCCUUGGGAACUGUGCUGAGAAAGUCCCAGUCCCAAAGAAACCUUCAAGUACUUUAACUGGGAUAUUUAGGGUUUGGUCCUCAUUCUCUGUCCACAAAGAUGGGUGAGGACAACACCCAUCACCAUGGAGUUAGCACCAGUGAUGCACCUACAGUAAUAUUUGUUCCCACCUUUACAUGUUGAGGUGACAUCUUCCCACCUAUACCCUGCAUUUUAGCAGGUUCAAUGUUCAUUGGCACAGGUAGGUGCAACUACUGAACUCAGGAUCAAGGUCCAUAACUCAGCUUUGUUUCCUCAGAUGGUGUCAUUUGCCUUCACUAAUUCUAGGCAACUGGUCAAUUUGUGUGGCUUUGAUUUGUUUCGUUAUGGGUCAGAUAGUACUCUUCCAAAUGGGAGUCUGGGAUAAAGAAAUAGAUUUUGAAUAAGUCAAGAAGGAAAACAUCAGUAAUCUUUCAGAGACCCUCUCAAAUUAGUAUUGAAGAUUUUGCUGAAAGAACAUAGAACAGAGAAAACCUACAGCACAAUACAGGCCCUUUGGCCCUCAAUGCUGUACCGAACAUGUACUUACUUUAGAAAUUACCUAGGGUUACCCAUAGCCCUCUAUUUUUCUAAAUUCCAUGUACCUAUCCAGGAGUCUCUUAAAAGACCCUAUUCUAUCUGCCUCCACAACAGUCACCAGCAGCCCAUUCCACACACUCAUCAUUCUCUGCGUAAAAAAGACUUACCCCUGACAUCCCCUCUGUAGCUACUUCCAAGCACCUUAAAACUGUGCCCUCUCAUGUUAACCAUUUCAGCCCUGGGAAAAAGCCUCUGAUUAUCCACACGAUCAAUGCCUCUCAUCAUCUUGUACACCUCUAUCAGGUCACCUGUCAUCCUCCAUCGCUCCAAGGAGAAAAGGCCGAGUUCACUCAACCUAUUCUCAUAAGGCAUGCUCCCCAAUCCAGGCAACAUCCCUGUAAAUCUCCUCUGCACCCUUUCUAUGGUUUCCACAUCCUUCCUGUAGUGAGGUGACCAGAACUGAGCACAGUACUCCAAGUGGGGUCUGACCAGGGUCCUAUAUAGCUGUAACAUCACCUCUCGGCUCUUGAACUCAAAUCCACAGCUGAUGAAGGCCAAUGCACCGUAUGGCUUCUUAACCACAGAGUCAAACUGUGCAGCAGCUUUGAGUGCCCUAUGGACUCAGACCCCAAGAUCCCUCUGAUCCACCACACUGCCAAGAGUCUUACCAUUAAUACUAUAUUCUUCCGUCAUAUUUGACCUACCAAAAUGAACCAUCUCACACUUAUCUAGUUGAAGUCCAUCUGCCACUUCUCAGCCCAGUUUUGCAUCCUAUCGAUGUUCCAUUGUAACCUCUGACAGCCCUCCACACUAACCACAACACCCCCAACCUUUGUGUCAUCAACAAAUUUACUAACCCAUCCCUCCACUUCCUCAUCCAGGUCACUUAUAAAAAUCACCAAGAGAAGGGGUCCCAGAACAGAUCUCUGAGGCACACCACUUGUCACCAACCUCCAUGCAGAAUAUGACCCGUCUACAACCACUCUUUACCUUCUGUGAGCAAGUCAAUUCUGGAUCCACAAAGCAAUGUCCCCUUGGAUCCCAUGCCUCCUUACUUUCUCAAUAAGCCUUGCAUGGGAUACCCUAUCAAAUGCCUUGCUGAAAUCCAUAUACACUACAUCUACUGCUCUACCUCCAUCAAUGUGUUUAGUCGCAUCUUCAAAAAAUUUAAUCAGGCUCAUAAGGCACAACCUGCCCUUGACAAAGCCAUGCAGACUAUUCCUGAUCAUAUUACGCCUCUCCAAAUGUUCAUAAAUCCUACCUUUCAGGAUCUUUUCCAUCAACUUACCAACCACUGAAGUAAGACUCACUGGUCUAUAAUUUCCUAGGCUAUCUCUACUCCCUUUCUUGAAUAAGGGAACAUCUGCAACCCUUCAAUCCUCAGGAACCUCUCCCGUCCUCACUGAUGAUGCAAAGAUCAUUGUCAGAGGCUCAGUAAUCUCCUCCCUCGCCUCCCACUGUAGCCUGGGGUACAUCUCGUCCGGGUUGGCUACAACAUCUUCAGGCUAAAUAAUAUGUCAAUGUUUAAGUAAACAUUGUUGAUGCAUGAUAAUAACUCAUACAUUGAUUUGUUUUAGUACCAUUGGGGAGAGGAAUAAUCAAGCUUAAAGAAAUAGAAGAUAAAAACAAUUGCUAAUAAUUUUAGCAAGACACUAAGUAGGAACUAGAUGAGUUGGUACAAAGAAAUAUAUUUAAAAGGAGUCAGAAUUAGUUGUAUUGGAAUGAAAUUGUUAAACAUAACCUUUGCACUAUUCUAGUGUUUGUUGGAAUUUGGGAGCUCUGGCCAUUGAUCUCUGCACUUCAACAUAACUAAAACUUACAACGCUCAGUUAUAGUUCUUUUGCUUAUCAGAUGAGAUAAUUGCUGCUUGAUAUAUACAAGAAUGCCUGGGAGCUAGGCAGCAGCAGAAGAAAACAAAUACAGCAAACAACAACUUAAAUAAUAACAGGAACAUGAGGUGCAAACUUAUGGAAAGCUGAGCUGCAAACUGAUCUGAAUGAAAUAAAGAAUGAUCUGAAUGUCUGCCUUGAUCAAUUGAGUGACACAGCUAGAGGUGCUAUUGAACAGAAUGAUAAUUCCAAGAUUGGUAAGCAGCUCAAACCUCCAAGCCUGGAAAGAGUUGAAGAACUGAUGCUACCAUGAAGAUAUUCAUUGUUACUCUGGCAAUCUUAAAGGAUCCCAGGGUGCACCCUUCUCACUGAAUGAGACCACUAUGAACCAAUCAAUACCUUGGUAUCAAUCUCUAUGAUAUAUGGGCUCGAAAGUCACCGAACUUUACAAUAUUGCUCAGGAAAGUAUAUAUCAUUCUAUUUUGCUCAAAAGAGUCGAGAAUCUGUUCAGUGAAAAGCUGGGAAACUGUAGUAAACACUUCUGCAAAUUGGUUGAAAACCUGAUGAUCGAAAUACCUGAUUUGGCUGAUGAAUUGGAGUUAAAACAUCCCACCUUCUUCCAAGAGUAUGUUCAACGUCUCUCGGGGUUGGUUGAGUGUCUUCGUAGAAAUCUGCAUGCAGCAGUUGGCAGAGGAAACUCUGAAACUCUCCACAAGACGCUGAUGUUGAUUCAGAGACACAUCAAAAGGUACAUUGACUAAUUUAAUCACACAUACAACAACAGCACCAAGCAAAUUGGGGAAUGUCCGAGGAGAAACCCUCAUGAAACUGAGCCAGCAAAUGAAUUUUCCCCCUUCCAUGUGGUCCACGAGAGGACCCACCAAGAAGGAUUGCAAAAGAAAACCUUAUGACAAACUGGAAUUGUUAUUGAUAAAUUGGUGAUUAAUGAGCCUUUUAUGGUUGUAGAGGUAGUCUAUGAACAUACAAACUAAACAUAAAACCACUCAUGAGAUGAAAAAGAUCUUAACCCAACCCACUCUAUAAUCAAUAUUUAUAAUUCUAGUUAGUGACCAGCUGCUUAUCCAAGGGUAUAAUGCUGCUUUCUCUGAAGUAGCCAACGGAACUGCUGAUUCAGUUUCGAGGAUUUUUGUUGUCAAAACCAGUGGAAAAUUGUAUAGCAUGUUAACUAAUGUUAUAACUGAGAUUUCGUUAAUGUAUGAAUUGAAAAUUGCUACUAAAAACAAUCACUCUCAUCUUCGAGUUCAAGUAUAUUGUCAUUCAACCAUACACAUGUAUACCGCCAAAUGAAACAUCAUUCCAACAUCAAGAACGGCACACAAAUCUUAUCAGCAUCGAAUAAAACAGCUAUAACUAUAAGAUCUGUACCUCAUUUUUGACUUUCAAACAACGUUCAGGGCUACCAUCAUCUCCAGAUCUAACAGUUGCUCCACAACUGUGCAGCUUUGCUGGUCUUGGUCAGCAUACCCUCCACAAUUGAGAGCAACUGAAUUGUGAUGAGGUUCCCACAAGGUCAGGAAUGAGUAGGCAACAAUCAUGGUGCAUCAUCAGAAGAAAUCCUCACUGGGUUCAAACCAAUGACAUUGAAGUAGAUUAAUAAAAAAUCAUACUAUCUAAAUACACAAAAGGCAAUUUUUACCUGCCCUUACACUGUCUGCAAUUGAAGUUUCAUGUACAAACAACUCUGUUGCUCUCAAAGUAAAUUCAUUAUCAAAAUAUGCAUAUGUUACCAUGUACAACUCACCUAUUUAGGUGCUGAAAAUUAAUUGGUUAGUGAGAGAGAAAUUAGAUUUAUUUUGAUAAUAAACUGUUAUUGGAGGGCAAAAGUUGAUUUGCACAUUUUGAAGUUCUUUAGUGCUGGAAGAUGCCUAACAAUAAACCAUUUGAUCAUCGUGGUCUGCUUUACAUAAUUGUGUGAGUCAUGUGGUCAGAGAACCGAGUUGGCCAUAAUCACAAUCUGCAAUUUUCCUUGCUGUAAGAAUUUGAAUAAACAAUCU